rnacentral:rRNA from 1 species
ACAUACGACCAUAGACUCAAGAGAAUUGGGGAGAAUUGGGCAUCAGAAUUGGGCAUCCCGUCCGCUCUGCCAUACACAAGCUUGAGAUCGGUGGAUUAGUAGUUGGGUGGGUGACCACCAGCGAAUACCCACUGUUGUAUGUU